CGGACGGGUGAGUAACGCGUGGAUAACCUGCCUCACACUGGGGGAUAACAGUUAGAAAUGACUGCUAAUACCGCAUAAGCGCACAGUACCGCAUGGUACGGUGUGAAAAACUCCGGUGGUGUGAGAUGGAUCCGCGUCUGAUUAGGUAGUUGGUGGGGUAACGGCCCACCAAGCCGACGAUCAGUAGCCGACCUGAGAGGGUGACCGGCCACAUUGGGACUGAGACACGGCCCAA
rnacentral:rRNA from 1 species